rnacentral:rRNA from 1 species
AGCUCCAAUAGCGUAUAUUAAAGUUGUUGCAGUUAAAAAGCUCGUAGUUGGAUUCCUGGUUAGAGCGGCCGGUCUGGUCCGAAUGGGCUAGUACUUUGAGCUGUCUUUGACCUUCCUUUGGGAGAAACUGUGUUGUUAUUAAUUUAGCAGUGCAGGGGACCCCAAUCGUUUACUGUGAAAAAAUUAGAGUGUUUAAAGCAGGCAUUUGCUGUGAAUACAUUAGCAUGGAAUAAUAAGAUAGGACUUUGGUGCUAUUUUGUUGGUUUGCACACCAAGGUAAUGAUUAACAGGGACAGUUGGGGGUAUUCGUAUUUAAUUGUCAGAGGUGAAAUUCUUGGAUUUAUGAAAGACGAACUACUGCGAAAGCAUUUACCAAGGAUGUUUUCAUUAAUCAAGAACG